rnacentral:misc_RNA from 1 species
AAUAUGUUCCAGAACCGAUAAGAAAUGUUCCCAGCGGGGAUCUUGCAGCUGACCCAAGCGAAAUCUGUUGCCAUUGAUUUCAAAUAAAGCAACACCAGCAGCCAAUAGUUGCAGAACCAAGAGAUAAAUAACUAAGGGGGACCUCCAUGACUUCAGUUUCAUCAAUCCAAUAAGUUUUAUCCACCAUGCAUCAGCUAACUCCCAUUCCGGACCCAAAAUAGCCCAUACAAUAAGAAAAAUCACUUCCAGAAGAAUAGCGAGA